rnacentral:rRNA from 1 species
GAGGGUUGAUGCUGGCAGUUUAUCUGCAUGUGCUCGCUCUUCUGAUUUAUUUACACCUGUGCACUUAAUUCUUUUCAAAGGCCUUAGGGGUAGAAACCUGCCUUUGGAGCUUUAUAAACCCCCUAUUUGAGAUUAUGGAUGUUUAUCUGCCACAAGGCAAAAUUUUAAUACAACUUUUAACAACGGAUCUCUUGGCUCUCGCAUCGAUGAAGAACGCAGCGAAAUGCGAUAAGUAAUGUGAAUUGCAGAAUUCAGUGAAUCAUCGAAUCUUUGAACGCACCUUGCGCUCUCUGGUAUUCCGGGGAGCACACCUGUUCGAGUGUCAUUAAAAUCCUCAAAUAAAGGUGGCUUUGCAGCUAUCUCUGUUUGGAUUUGGGCUUUGCUGCAUAUUAAUUGUGGCUAGUCUUAAAUAUAUUAGCUGAUCCUUAUUGAGGUUUUGGUUCUACUCAGCGUGGUAAUUAUCUAACGUUGAGGACAGUCUCAGAACUGGCCAUGGCUCUCUCUGGAUUGCUUCUAGACUGUCUUUGGGGACAAUUGCUUAAUUUCUGACCUCGAAUCAGGUGGGACUACCCGC